rnacentral:lncRNA from 1 species
AUGCCGGGCUUUGCAUUGCCCAAUGACUCCCAGGCCUGCACAGAUGCCUGGCUGACAGACAAGAAGAGGAGCACCGUUGCUGAGGUUUCUCUGAAUAUUUCAGGCCUGAUCGAACUCCGAAAGCAAAUGCUCUCAGCAGUUUCCUUCAGGAGCUCUUGCAAACAACCAGGAAUGUCAGAACCAGAACGUUUCCCCAGUGACAGCUUCAUCCUUUAAACUUCGCAGAUGAGACAGCAUGCGGAGCAAUCUGUGCUGAAGCAGGAUUAGGAGUUACCAGGGUGACACUUUGUAAUUUGUAGGAUGCUGACAAUGAACCUCGGAAAAGCACAAGACCUUUGCUGGAGCUCAAGAGACCACAGAGACCCAAUUGGCAU